rnacentral:misc_RNA from 1 species
GUGAAUCAUCGAAUUUUUGAACGCAAAUUGCACUCUCUUCGAAGAGUAUGCCUGUUUGAGUGUGAGCCUAAAAAAAAUUAACAUAGAUUCUGUUACGCUGUAACAUUCGUCGGUAAUUAGGUCAUCUUAAAACUUUGGGUUUAAGAGGCUUAAAAUUUUCUUUACGAUUCCAAUAACGUUUCUAAGAUUUUAUCUUCUUAUACGUUUAUGGUACCGUUCUCUAUUAGACGUGGCCGUUGCAUCGGAUCGUGUCUCUAAAUAUUUCGUUAACUGAACU